CAAAUAAAUUCCAUAAAGCAAAUUAAUCAAUUAGACUUAUUUGAGAAUUGAAAUUAACGCGUUACGUGCCAAUUUGAAUUUUGGACACUUUCCGUUCAAACCAUGUGAAGGCGUAUACGCUUCACGCUUUACGAUUAAAUAGUUUUGCUUCUAACGUAUGCCUUACAAUCUGUACAAUAAUACAAAGAUGAUAAUUAUCGAGAAAAGGGUGUAGAGAUUAAGAUGCAUAAGACAACAAAGCAAUACAUUUCAUUUUCAAGGAAUUAUUUUAAUAAACACAUGAUUUUAUUCUUUUUACAAUGAGAAUUCCAAAUGGCUUGAACGGAAAUUUCAGUGUGGGCCGCAUACGCCCUACACGGCACGAGACGUGUUAAUAGUCUCCAAAUUAUAAUAGCUACAAUACUUCCAAAAGGCGAUGGAUAUUCUUUAAAGCACAUUAUAUUUUGUAAAUCACAACUGCAGAUGUUGCAACACCAAGAAGGAUUAAGAGUCAUCGAGUUGAUAAAA